UUCUGUGUAUGGCACUGGUAGAAUUCACUGUGAGACCCCGCGAUCAGUGAAUUACCAUAGGGCCAUAAACAGAG
rfam:Tinamus guttatus contig34536, whole genome shotgun sequence.